rnacentral:rRNA from 1 species
UGGCGGCGUGCUUAACACAUGCAAGUCGAACGGAAAGGCCCUGCUUUUGUGGGGUGCUCGAGUGGCGAACGGGUGAGUAACACGUGAGUAACCUGCCCUUGACUUUGGGAUAACUUCAGGAAACUGGGGCUAAUACCGGAUAGGAGCUCCUGCUGCAUGGUGGGGGUUGGAAAGUUUCGGCGGUUGGGGAUGGACUCGCGGCUUAUCAGCUUGUUGGUGGGGUAGUGGCUUACCAAGGCUUUGACGGGUAGCCGGCCUGAGAGGGUGACCGGCCACAUUGGGACUGAGAUACGGCCCAGACUCCUACGGGAGGCAGCAGUGGGGAAUAUUGCACAAUGGGCGGAAGCCUGAUGCAGCAACGCCGCGUGCGGGAUGACGGCCUUCGGGUUGUAAACCGCUUUCGCCUGUGACGAAGCGUGAGUGACGGUAAUGGGUAAAGAAGCACCGGCUAACUACGUGCCAGCAGCCGCGGUGAUACGUAGGGUGCGAGCGUUGUCCGGAUUUAUUGGGCGUAAAGGGCUCGUAGGUGGUUGAUCGCGUCGGAAGUGUAAUCUUGGGGCUUAACCCUGAGCGUGCUUUCGAUACGGGUUGACUUGAGGAAGGUAGGGGAGAAUGGAAUUCCUGGUGGAGCGGUGGAAUGCGCAGAUAUCAGGAGGAACACCAGUGGCGAAGGCGGUUCUCUGGGCCUUUCCUGACGCUGAGGAGCGAAAGCGUGGGGAGCGAACAGGCUUAGAUACCCUGGUAGUCCACGCUGUAAACGGUGGGUACUAGGUGUGGGGUCCAUUCCACGGGUUCCGUGCCGUAGCUAACGCUUUAAGUACCCCGCCUGGGGAGUACGGCCGCAAGGCUAAAACUCAAAGGAAUUGACGGGGCCCCGCACAAGCGGCGGAGCAUGCGGAUUAAUUCGAUGCAACGCGUAGAACCUUACCUGGGUUUGACAUGGAUCGGGAGUGCUCAGAGAUGGGUGUGCCUCUUUUGGGGUCGGUUCACAGGUGGUGCAUGGCUGUCGUCAGCUCGUGUCGUGAGAUGUUGGGUUAAGUCCCGCAACGAGCGCAACCCUUGUUCACUGUUGCCAGCACGUUAUGGUGGGGACUCAGUGGAGACCGCCGGGGUCAACUCGGAGGAAGGUGGGGAUGACGUCAAGUCAUCAUGCCCCUUAUGUCCAGGGCUUCACGCAUGCUACAAUGGCUGGUACAGAGAGUGGCGAGCCUGUGAGGGCGAGCGAAUCUCGGAAAGCCGGUCUCAGUUCGGAUUGGGGUCUGCAACUCGACCUCAUGAAGUCGGAGUCGCUAGUAAUCGCAGAUCAGCAACGCUGCGGUGAAUACGUUCCCGGGGCUUGUACACACCGCCCGUCAAGUCAUGAAAGUUGGUAACACCCGAAGCCGGUGGCCUAACCGUUGUGGGGGAGCCGUCGAAGGUGGGACUGGUGAUUAGGACUAA